rnacentral:misc_RNA from 1 species
GAUGAAGAACGCAGCGAAAUGCGAUACGUAAUGUGAAUUGCAGAAUUCAGUGAAUCAUCGAAUCUUUGAACGCAUAUUGCGCUCUCUGGUAUUCCGGAGAGCAUGCUUGUUUGAGUAUCAGUAAACACCUCAACUUCCAUAUCUUUUUUGAAAUGGGAGUUGGACUUGAGUGAUCCCAACGCUUUUCCUCACCGAAAAGUGGCGGGUUACUUGAAAUGCAGGUGCAGCUGGACUUUUCUCUGAGCUAUAAGCAUAUCUAUUUAGUCUGCCUAAAAAACAGAUUAUUACCUUUGCUGCAGCUAACAUAAAGGAGAUUAGUUCUUGUGCUGACUGAUGCAGGAUUCACAAAGACGGCUUCGGCCGACUUUGUAAACUCGAUCUCAAAUCAAGUAAGACUACCCGCUGAACUUAAGCAUAUCAAUAAGCGAGGA